AUUGAACGCUGGCGGCAGGCCUAACACAUGCAAGUCGAACGGUAACAGGAAGAAGCUUGCUUCUUUGCUGACGAGUGGCGGACGGGUGAGUAAUGUCUGGGAAACUGCCUGAUGGAGGGGGAUAACUACUGGAAACGGUAGCUAAUACCGCAUAACGUAUCGGGAUGGCAUCUUCCUGAUACCAAAGAUUUUAUCGCUUAGAGAUGGGCUCGCGUCUGAUUAGAUAGUUGGCGGGGUAACGGCCCACCAAGUCGACGAUCAGUAGCCGGACUGAGAGGUUGAACGGCCACAUUGGGACUGAGACACGGCCCAGACUCCUACGGGAGGCAGCAGUGGGGGAUAUUGGACAAAUGGGGGGCGAAACCCCUGAUCCAGCGACGCCGCUGAGGAAGAAGUUUCGAUGUAAACCUACUGUUGACGGAGGAAAAAAAAUA
rnacentral:rRNA from 1 species